rnacentral:rRNA from 1 species
GUGGGGAAUUUUGGACAAUGGGCGCAAGCCUGAUCCAGCGACGCCGCGUGGAGGACGAAGGCCUUCGGGUUGUAAACUCCUUUUGGAGGGGAAGAAUAAAUUGACGGUACCCUCAGAAAAAGCCACGGCUAACUACGUGCCAGCAGCCGCGGUAAUACGUAGGUGGCGAGCGUUACUCGGAAUUACUAGGCGUAAAGCGUAUGUAGGUGGUUAGAUAAGUCUAUGGUGAAAUUUCCUGGCUUAACUGGGAAGGGACAUAGAUACUAUCUGGCUUGAGUGUGGGAGGGGGAGACGGAAUUCCUGGUGUAGCGGUGAAAUGCGUAGAUAUCAGGAGGAACACCGAUGGCGAAAGCAGUCUCCUGGCCCAAUACUGACACUGAGGUACGAAAGCUAGGGUAGCAAACAGGAUUAGAUACCCGAGUAGUCC